UACGAAGGGUGCAAGCGUUAAUCGGAAUUACUGGGCGUAAAGCGUGCGUAGGCGGUUUGUUAAGUCUGUUGUGAAAGCCCUGGGCUCAACCUGGGAAUGGCAAUGGAAACUGGCGAGCUAGAGUGCGGUAGGGGGAGACUGGAAUUCCUGGUGUAGCGGUGAAAUGCGCAGAUAUCAGGAGGAACACCGGUGGCGAAGGCGGCGACCUGGUCCUUGACUGACGCUGAGGCGCGAAAGCGUGGGGAGCAAACAGG
rnacentral:rRNA from 1 species